rnacentral:SRP_RNA from 1 species
GCCGGGUGUGGUGGCUCACACCUGUAAUCCCAGCACUUUGGGAGGCUGAGGUGGGUGGAUCACCUGAGGUCAGGAGUUUGAGACCAGCCUGGCCAACAUGGUGAAAUCCUGUCUCUA